UACGUAGGCAGCAAGCGUUGUUCGGAGUUACUGGGCGUAAAGAGUGUGUAGGCGGUUCUCUAAGUUCGGUGUGAAAUCUCCUGGCUCAACUGGGAGGGUGCGCCGGAAACUGGAGGGCUUGAGUAUGGGAGAGGAAAGCGGAAUUCCUGGUGUAGCGGUGAAAUGCGUAGAUAUCAGGAGGAACACCUGCGGUGUAGACAGCUUUCUGGACCAUCACUGACGCUGAGACACGAAAGCUAGGGGAGCGAACGGG
rnacentral:rRNA from 1 species